rnacentral:sRNA from 1 species
GUACUUACCCAAUAAUUUCGGUUACAAACACAACAUAUCAGAUUUCUACUAAUAUCGAAAAUAUUUCUUUAAAUGUUAUUGCAGCAGCAUCACUAAGUGCUUUCAUUUUUAUUGGCAUUGUCACGUGUGUCAUCAUUUUACUCAUUAGAAGAAAGCGAGGUUACGUUUAUGAAAACAACAAGAGUACAUCAAUAGAUAAAUUUGGCAAAAAUCACAUACAAG